AACGAACGCUGGCGGCGUGCCUAACACAUGCAAGUCGUGCGAGAAAGUUCCUUCGGGAGCGAGUAAAGCGGCGCACGGGUGAGUAACACGUAGGUAACCUGCCCCCCAGUCUGGAACAACUAGAGGAAACUCUAGCUAAUGCCGGAUGAGACCACGAUCCCUUCGGGGGUUGCGGCCAAAGAUGGCCUCUACUUGUAAGCUAUCGCUGAGGGAUGGGCCUGCGGGCCAUUAGCUUGUUGGUGAGGUAACGGCUCACCAAGGCUGUGAUGGCUAGCUGGUCUGAGAGGAUGACCAGCCACACUGGGACUGAGACACGGCCCAGACUCCUACGGGAGGCAGCAGUGGGGAAUAUUGCGCAAUGGGCGAAAGCCUGACGCAGCGACGCCGCGUGCGGGAUGAAGGCCUUCGGGUCGUAAACCGCUGUCGCCAGGGACGAAACAAAUGACGGUACCUGGAAGGAAGCACCGGCUAACUCUGUGCCAGCAG
rnacentral:rRNA from 1 species